CUCAGGUGCUUAAGGCAAUGAGAGAAUCUGUUUCAACAGAACCUGCUAUCUUUGCCAUGUCUAACCCCACCAUGAAUGCUGAGUGCACUGCUAUUGAUGCUUUCAAGCAUGCUAGGGAAAAUAUAGUGUUUGCCAGUGGAACCCUCUCGAAAAUGUAGAUCUUGGUAACGGAAAAGUGGGCCAUGUAAAUCAAGCAAACAACAUGUACCUAUUCCCUGGAAUUGGUUUGGGAACUCUUUUGUCAAGUUCUCACCUUAUAACAGAUGGAAUGUUGCAAGCAGCUGUUGAAUGCCUUGCUUCAUACAUGGCUGAGGAAGAUAUCUCAAACGGAAUUUUAUACCCAUCUGCUGACAGGUGAUAUUCCUUAUUUUCUCUUGAUAUCUUUCGCAUUUCAUUUUCUUCUGACUUUGCUUUCUCUGUUGCCUUUUGUAAUAACCAAAACAAAUGAUACUGUAAAAAUUUUAUAACUUAAAACUGUGAUCUGGUGAAUGUUGUUAUCAAGGAUCAG